rnacentral:pre_miRNA from 1 species
UGACGACGAUGACGAUGAUGAUGAUGAUGAAGAUGAUGUACACCAAAAAGAAUUCGAAUUGGGAUCAUGAUGAUAGUGAGAUAAAUUUCGAGAAGAAAAUCCGAUUUGUGUGAAAUCUGUAACCACGUCAUCAUCAUCAUUAUUAUCAUCGAAU